rnacentral:lncRNA from 1 species
CAGAUUGCUGAGAGCCAGAAAUAAUGAAAGGAGAGCAUAAACCCACUUGGGACUUUCCCAAAGCCUCCUGUGGUUAAGCUGUGUGAAAGAUCUGACUGGAAAGAAGAAAGUACCUAAUUGAUCUGAGACAUAAGAGCCUUAAUCCAGUAGCUGAUGGAAGCAGAAGAAGACAACCACAGCUAAACACUGAGCUAAACUCUGGAAACCAGUUGAAGAGUAGGAGUGAUGAGCAAAGUGGUCAAGACCAGACUGGAGAAACACACAGAAACAGCUGACCUGAACAAGAGGGAGCUCAUGGACCCCACACUGAUAGCUGGG